GACGAACGCUGGCGGCGUGCCUAAUACAUGCAAGUAGAGCGCUGAAGGAGGAGCUUGCUUCUCCGGAUGAGUUGCGAACGGGUGAGUAACGCGUAGGUAACCUGCCUGGUAGCGGGGGAUAACUAUUGGAAACGAUAGCUAAUACCGCAUAAGAGUAGAUGUCGCAUGACAUUUGCUUAAAAGGUGCAACUGCACCACUACCAGAUGGACCUGCGUUGUAUUAGCUAGUUGGUGAGGUAACGGCUCACCAAGGCAACGAUACAUAGCCGACCUGAGAGGGUGAUCGGCCACACUGGGACUGAGACACGGCCCAGACUCCUACGGGAGGCAGCAGUAGGGAAUCUUCGGCAAUGGACGGAAGUCUGACCGAGCAACGCCGCGUGAGUGAAGAAGGUUUUCGGAUCGUAAAGCUCUGUUGUAAGAGAAGAACGAGUGUGAGAGUGGAAAGUUCACACUGUGACGGUAUCUUACCAGAAAGGGACGGCUAACUACGCG
rnacentral:rRNA from 1 species